rnacentral:rRNA from 1 species
UACGUAGGGUGCGAGCGUUGUCCGGAAUUAUUGGGCGUAAAGAGCUCGUAGGCGGUGUGUCACGUCGGCCGUGAAAACCUGCAGCUUAACUGUGGGCGUGCGGUCGAUACGGGCAUCACUGGAGUUCGGCAGGGGAGACUGGAAUUCCUGGUGUAGCGGUGAAAAUGCGCAGAUAUCAGGAGGAACACCGAUUGCGAAGGCAGCUCGCUGGAACGUUACUGACGCUGAGACGCGAAAGCGUGGGGAGCAAACAGG